GCAGUGGGGAAUCUUAGACAAUGGGGGCAACCCUGAUCUAGCCAUGCCGCGUGAGUGAUGAAGGCCUUAGGGUCGUAAAGCUCUWUCGCCAGGGAUGAUAAUGACAGUACCUGGUAAAGAAACCCCGGCUAACUCCGUGCCAGCAGCCGCGGUAAUACGGAGGGGGUUAGCGUUGUUCGGAAUUACUGGGCGUAAAGCGCGUGUAGGCGGAUACGCAAGUCGGUUGUGAAAUCCCUAGGCUCAACCUAGGAACUGCAUCCGAAACUGUGUGUCU
rnacentral:rRNA from 1 species